UCAGAACGAACGCUGGCGGCAGGUCUUAGGCAUGCAAGUCGAACGGAUGACAGAGAGCUUGCUCUCUGAAGUCAGUGGCGCACGAGUGAGUAACGCGUGGGAAACUGCCCUUCACUGGGGAAUAACGUUUGGAAACGAACGCUAAUACCGCAUACGCCCGCAAGGGGAAAGAUUUAUCGGUGAUGGAUGUGCCCGCGUUGGAUUAGCUAGUUGGUGGGGUAAUGGCCUACCAAGGCGAUGAUCCAUAGCUGGUCUGAGAGGACGAUCAGCCACGCUGGAACUGAGACACGGUCCAGACUCCUACGGGAGGCAGCAGCUAAGAAUAUUGGGCAAUGGAGGAAACUCUGACCCAGCCCAUGCCGCGUGAAUGAAGGAGGCCUUCGGGUUGUAAAGUUCUUUUAGUCAUGAAGAUGAUGACAGUAGUGACAGAAAAAGCACCGGCUAACUUCGUGCCAGCCGCCGC
rnacentral:rRNA from 1 species